rnacentral:rRNA from 1 species
UGAGGAAUAUUGGUCAAUGGACGAGAGUCUGAACCAGCCAAGUCGCGUGAAGGAAGACGGAUCUAUGGUUUGUAAACUUCUUUAGUGCGGGAACAAAGCGGCGUCGUGACGCCGGAUGAGUGUACCGCAAGAAUAAGCAUCGGCUAACUCCGUGCCAGCAGCCGCGGUAAUACGGAGGAUGCGAGCGUUAUCCGGAUUUAUUGGGUUUAAAGGGAGCGCAGGCUGCGAGGCAAGUCAGCGGUCAAAUGUCGGGGCUCAACCCCGGCCUGCCGUUGAAACUGUCCUGCUAGAGUUCGAGUGAGGUAUGCGGAAUGCGUUGUGUAGCGGUGAAAUGCAUAGAUAUGACGCAGAACUCCGAUUGCGAAGGCAGCAUACCAACUCGCGACUGACGCUGAGGCUCGAAAGCGUGGGUAUCGAACA